GAUGAACGCUGGCGGCGUGCCUAAUACAUGCAAGUCGAGCGAACAGACGAGGAGCUUGCUCCUUUGACGUUAGCGGCGGACGGGUGAGUAACACGUGGAUAACCUACCUAUAAGACUGGGAUAACUUCGGGAAACCGGAGCUAAUACUGGAUAAUAUAUUGAACCGCAUGGUUCAAUAGUGAAAGACGGUUUUGCUGUCACUUAUAGAUGGAUCCGCGCCGCAUUAGCUAGUUGGUAAGGUAACGGCUUACCAAGGCAACGAUGCGUAGCCGACCUGAGAGGGUGAUCGGCCACACUGGAACUGAGACACGGUCCAGACUCCUACGGGAGGCAGCAGUAGGGAAUCUUCCGCAAUGGGCGAAAGCCUGACGGAGCAACGCCGCGUGAGUGAUGAAGGUCUUCGGAUCGUAAAACUCUGUUAUUAGGGAAGAACAAAUGUGUAAGUAACUAUGCACGUCUUGACGGUACCUAAUCAGAAAGCCACGGCUAACUACGUG
rnacentral:rRNA from 1 species